UACGUAGGCAGCGAGCGUUGUUCGGAGUUACUGGGCGUAAAGGGUGUGUAGGCGGUUCUUUAAGUUUGGUGUGAAAUCUCCCGGCUCAACCGGGAGGGUGCGCCGAAUACUGAGGGACUAGAGUACGGGAGAGGAAAGUGGAAUUCCUGGUGUAGCGGUGGAAUGCGCAGAUAUCAGGAGGAACACCAAUAGCGAAGGCAGCUCGCUGGGACGUUACUGACACUGAGGCGCGAAAGCGUGGGGAGCGAACAGG
rnacentral:rRNA from 1 species